AGCAGAGAGCAAAAUGUAGGGGCACGCGAUGAAACUACUCAAAGAAAAAUUCAUAUUGCAAAAAGUUUGGUUAACAAUUACUGUAUUUUGUAACUAAAAUAAUUUUAAGAUAACAUUUUUUAAAUGCGAAUUAAUUUUUUUUACAACAAUUUAAUAGUUUUGCUUUCAAAUACUGUAUGUUUGAUUGAAUAAUAUUGACACAAAAGUCAUACCAUACAAAACACCUCAAAUCAAUGCACAAAAGGAGAAUUGGCUCCGCAUUUACGUAAUAGCAUGACAGGUACCUUUGUCUUCUCCUCUGUCAUCUGAUCCUUCAUCUCUGGAUGUAAAAUAGUCCAUUAUAACAUCGUGUAGGACACUGGCAUCAACAGGAUUGCUCAAAUUGCGGCGAUCAUGUUAAUCCUUAAAUUGAGCAGCUAACUUUGUAAAAAAAAAAACUUUGCGUGAAAUAGUGUGUUACACCGCCGCCGGUGUUGUGUCGAAGUCUGUUUCCCCCUAUUUUUCCCUUCAGUGUAGUGUUUUUUAUAGCGUUUUUUAUCACGUUAUAGGUUUUAUUAUUUAUAUAUUAAAGUUUUAAUGGCUACUGAGAUGUAUAUGUGGGCAUUUCUGUAAUGUAUCUGUAUUGUUCUUAAUGGUAAGUAAAUUAUUUUUACAGUAUGAAUGAUAUUAUAUGUAUAAUAAUUAUUUAUUAUGUAUGCAAACAUUACAUUUUUAAAACAACCAGUAAAGGAAAAAAAGGAAAAGACAGGCUAUAUUUUAAAAGAAAUACUCUAAUAGAAAACUAUCAAAUGUAUGAAAUAUUUAAUAAAUUGUAUUAUAGAAUACAUGAUAUUAUUGCCUUUUAGUAUAACCAAUUCAAAUAUUUAAUCUUUCUAAAUGUAACGUGAUGAAAACGCUAUAAAAACACUACACUGAAGGGAAACAAAGGGUGAACUGAGUUCGACACAACACCUGUCCGGUUCGAGUGAAACAUUAAAGAGGCAGGCUUGUUACCUUGUCACUAUAAAUCACUAUUUCCUCACUAAAUAUAUUUUCAGAGAUUUUCUGUAGACAAGAUGUUAGAAUAAUAAUUUAAUAAAAACCCAAUUCUGACAAAAGUUACAUUUGACUUAUUUAGUUAUUUUUCUGAAAAUCUUAUUCGACGGGUAUUUCCCGAAUGCAUCAUAUUAAACAGAAUGCUUUCAAAAUGUCAGCCAGUAACACAUCAUAUCUUUUUUUACAGCUCUAACGUUACAGUUUGCUCCACUUUGCUCUGUGGUUUAUAUAUUUUCUUCUUAUGCUUGUAACCUGGAUUGAGUAAGAUGGAUCAUCUUUAAAGGAACCAGGAGUUAAGGUAGAUGUGGAG